GAUGAACGCUGGCGGCGUGCCUAAUACAUGCAAGUCGAGCGAAUAUACUAGGAGCUUGCUCCUCUGACGUUAGCGGCGGACGGUUGAGUAACACUUGGUUAACCUACCUUUAAGACUGGGUUAACUUCGGGAAACCGGAGCUAAUACCGGAUAAUAUAUUGAACUUCAUGUUUCCAUAUUGAAAGACGGUUUUGCUGUCACUUAUAUAUGUAUCCGCGCCGCAUUAGCUAGUUGGUAAGGUAACGGCUUACCAAGGCGACGAUGCGUAGCCGACCUGAGAGGGUGAUCGGCCACACUGGAACUGAGACACGGUCAAGACUCCUACGGGAGGAAGCAGAAGGGAAUCUUCCGCAAUGGGCGAAAGCCUGACGGAGAAACGCCGCGUGAGGGAUGAAGGUCUUCGGAUCGUAAAACUCUGUUAUUAGGGAGGAACAAAUGUGUAAGUAAAUAUGCACGUCUUGACGGUACCUAAUCAGAAAGCCACGGCUAACUACGUG
rnacentral:rRNA from 1 species